CGAGUGCUUGCACUCAAUUGGAAAGAGGAGUGGCGGACGGGUGAGUAACACGUGGGUAACCUACCCAUCAGAGGGGGAUAACACUUGGAAACAGGUGCUAAUACCGCAUAACAGUUUAUGCCGCAUGGCAUAAGAGUGAAAGGCGCUUUCGGGUGUCGCUGAUGGAUGGACCCGCGGUGCAUUAGCUAGUUGGUGAGGUAACGGCUCACCAAGGCCACGAUGCAUAGCCGACCUGAGAGGGUGAUCGGCCACACUGGGACUGAGACACGGCCCAGACUCCUACGGGAGGCAGCAGUAGGGAAUCUUCGGCAAUGGACGAAAGUCUGACCGAGCAACGCCGCGUGAGUGAAGAAGGUUUUCGGAUCGUAAAACUCUGUUGUUAGAGAAGAACAAGGACGUUAGUAACUGAACGUCCCCUGACGGUAUCUAACCAGAAAGCCACGGCUAACUACGUGCCAGCAGCCGCGGUAAUACGUAGGUGGCAAGCGUUGUCCGGAUUUAUUGGGCGUAAAGCGAGCGCAGGCGGUUUCUUAAGUCUGAUGUGAAAGCCCCCGGCUCAACCGGGGAGGGUCAUUGGAAACUGGGAGACUUGAGUGCAGAAGAGGAGAGUGGAAUUCCAUGUGUAGCGGUGAAAUGCGUAGAUAUAUGGAGGAACACC
rnacentral:rRNA from 1 species